rnacentral:rRNA from 1 species
GACGAACGCUGGCGGCGUGCUUAACACAUGCAAGUCGAACGGAAAGGCCCUGCUUUUGUGGGGUGCUCGAGUGGCGAACGGGUGAGUAACACGUGAGUAACCUGCCCUUGACUUUGGGAUAACUUCAGGAAACUGGGGCUAAUACCGGAUAGGAGCUCCUGCUGCAUGGUGGGGGUUGGAAAGUUUCGGCGGUUGGGGAUGGACUCGCGGCUUAUCAGCUUGUUGGUGGGGUAGUGGCUUACCAAGGCUUUGACGGGUAGCCGGCCUGGGAGGGUGACCGGACACAUUGGGACUGAGAUACGGCCCAGACUACUACGGGAGGCAGCAGUGGGGAAUAUUGCACAAUGGGCGGAAGCCUGAUGCAGCAACGCCGCGUGCGGGAUGACGGCCUUCGGGUUGUAAACCGCUUUCGCCUGUGACGAAGCGUGAGUGACGGUAAUGGGUAAAGAAGCACCGGCUAACUACGUG